CCUACGGUGGCACCAGUGGGGAAUAUUGGACAAUGGGCGAAAGCCUGAUCCAGCAAUGCCGCGUGUGUGAAGAAGGUCUUCGGAUUGUAAAGCACUUUCGACGGAGACGAUGAUGACGGUACCCGUAGAAGAAGCCCCGGCUAACUUCGUGCCAGCAGCCGCGGUAAUACGAAGGGGGCUAGCGUUGCUCGGAAUGACUGGGCGUAAAGGGCGCGUAGGCGGUUUAUGCAGUCAGAUGUGAAAUCCCCGGGCUUAACCUGGGAACUGCAUUUGAGACGCAUAGGCUAGAGGUCGAGAGAGGGUUGUGGAAUUCCCAGUGUAGAGGUGAAAUUCGUAGAUAUUGGGAAGAACACCGGUGGCGAAGGCGGCAACCUGGCUCGAUACUGACGCUGAGGCGCGAAAGCGUGGGGAGCAAACAGGAUUAGAUACCCCAGUAGUC
rnacentral:rRNA from 1 species